rnacentral:rRNA from 1 species
CUUGGCAGUCAGAGGCGAUGAAGGACGUACUAACCUGCGAUAAGCUGUGAGAAGUCGGUAAGAGACGCUAUUACUCACAGAUUUCCGAAUGGGGAAACCCACCCGAGAUAACUCGGGUAUCUGUUACUGAAUACAUAGGUAACAGAGGCGAACCGGGAGAACUGAAACAUCUAAGUACCCCGAGGAAAAGAAAUCAACCGAGAUUCCCUCAGUAGCGGCGAGCGAACGGGGAUUAGCCCUUAAGCAUCUUGGAAGUUAGUGGAACGGUCCUGGAAAGGCCGGCGAUACAGGGUGAUAGCCCCGUACACGAAAACAACCUUGAUGUGAAAUCGAGUAGGGCGGGACACGUGACAUCCUGUCUGAAUAUGGGGGGACCAUCCUCCAAGGCUAAAUACUCCUGACUGACCGAUAGUGAACCAGUACCGUGAGGGAAAGGCGAAAAGAACCCCUGUGAGGGGAGUGAAAUAGAACCUGAAACCGUGUACGUACAAGCAGUGGGAGCCCUUCGGGGUGACUGCGUACCUUUUGUAUAAUGGGUCAGCGACUUACAUUUUGUAGCGAGGUUAACCGUAUAGGGGAGCCGUAGGGAAACCGAGUCUUAACUGGGCGUCUAGUUGCAAGGUGUAGACCCGAAACCGGGUGAUCUAGCCAUGGGCAGGUUGAAGGUUGAGUAACAUCAACUGGAGGACCGAACCCACUAACGUUGCAAAGUUAGGGGAUGACCUGUGGCUGGGGGUGAAAGGCCAAUCAAACUCGGAGAUAGCUGGUUCUCCCCGAAAGCUAUUUAGGUAGCGCCUCGGACGAAUACUACUGGGGGUAGAGCACUGUUUGGCUAGGGGGUCAUCCCGACUUACCAACCCCAUGCAAACUCCGAAUACCAGUAAGUAAUAUCCGGGAGACACACGGCGGGUGCUAACGUCCGUCGUGAAGAGGGAAACAACCCAGACCGCCGGCUAAGGUCCCAAAGUUCUGGUUAAGUGGGAAACGAUGUGGGAAGGCUCAGACAGCUAGGAUGUUGGCUUAGAAGCAGCCAUCAUUUAAAGAAAGCGUAAUAGCUCACUAGUCGAGUCGGCCUGCGCGGAAGAUGUAACGGGGCUCAAACCAGGCACCGAAGCCGCGGAUUCACACUUAUGUGUGAGUGGUAGGGGAGCGUUCUGUAAGUCUGCGAAGGUGUAUCGAGAGGUAUGCUGGAGAUAUCAGAAGUGCGAAUGCUGACGUAAGUAACGAUAAAGGGGGUGAAAAGCCUCCUCGCCGGAAGACCAAGGGUUCCUGUCCAACGUUAAUCGGGGCAGGGUGAGUCGACCCCUAAGGCGAGGCCGAAAGGCGUAGUCGAUGGGAAGCAGGUUAAUAUUCCUGCACGACUUGUAAUUGCGAUGGGGGGACGGAGAAGGCUAGGUGGGCCAGGCGACGGUUGUCCUGGUGAAAGUGCGUAGGUGGUGUUUCUAGGCAAAUCCGGAGACACAACACUGAGACACGAGACGAACACACUACGGUGUGGAAGCCAUUGAUGCCCUGCUUCCAGGAAAAGCCUCUAAGCUUCAGAUUACAAGUCAUCGUACCCCAAAC